GAAAUGCGAUAAGUAGUGUGAAUUGCAGAAUUCAGUGAAUCAUCGAAUCUUUGAACGCACAUUGCGCCCCUGGGUAUUCCAUGGGGCAUGCCUGUUCGAGCGUCAUUUGUACCCUCAAGCUCUGCUUGGUGUUGGGUGUUUGUCCCCGUCUCCGCGCGUGGACUCGCCCCAAAGUGAUUGGCAGCCGGCGUACUGGUCCCGGAGCGCAGCACAUGUCGCGCAAACGAGUGCCUUGGUACGGCGGCGUCCAUAAGCCCCUCUCUCACGCUCUUGACCUCGGAUCAGGUAGGGAUACCCGCUGAACUUAAGC
rnacentral:misc_RNA from 1 species